rnacentral:rRNA from 1 species
UAGUGGCGGACGGGUGAGUAACGCGUGGGUAACCUGCCUUAUACAGGGGGAUAACACUUAGAAAUAGGUGCUAAUACCGCAUAAGCGCACGGGGCUGCAUGGCCCAGUGUGAAAAACUCCGGUGGUAUAAGAUGGACCCGCGUCUGAUUAGCUUGUUGGCGGGGUAACGGCCCACCAAGGCGACGAUCAGUAGCCGGCCUGAGAGGGUGGACGGCCACAUUGGGACUGAGACACGGCCCAAACUCCUACGGGAGGCAGCAG